UACGGAGGGUGCAAGCGUUAAUCGGAAUUACUGGGCGUAAAGCGCGCGUAGGCGGCUGGGUAAGUCGAUUGUGAAAGCCCCGGGCUCAACCUGGGAAUUGCAGUCGAGACUGCUCGGCUAGAGUGUGGGAGAGGGCAGUGGAAUUCCCGGUGUAGCGGUGAAAUGCGUAGAUAUCUGGAGGAACAUCAGUGGCGAAGGCGACUGCCUGGCCCAACACUGACGCUGAGGUGCGAAAGCGUGGGUAGCAAACAGG
rnacentral:rRNA from 1 species